CAAAAAUGUGGAAAACAUGACACUGAAUCGUUCAUCAGAAGAACUGUUUAUAGCCUGGGAACCGAAGCGAGGAAGAAGGCUGCCUUACUCAUCUCGGACCAUUCACAGGAUGCUCUAAUGUUCCCAGUAUCCUCUGCUUGUCCACGAAUAACCCCAAAAUCUAUGAGACCAUGGAUUUGGGAUGACAAACUUCAGCAAGCAGUGAGGUCUUUCAACAUUGAAUCUACCUUCCUCAGCUUCCCAGAGUGCUGGGAUUCCAGGAUGGGGGGGUGAUGCAGUAUCUCUAUGUUGCUCAGGUUGGCUCCGACUCCUGGGUUCAAGUGAUUCUUUCACCUCAGCCUCCCAAGUGCUGGGACUACACAGAAGUUCCAAAGGCAACUGGAAUGAUUGGGCGUCAGUGGGAUAAAGGCACCAAGUGAUCUGGAAGACAUCGAGCUGCUGACACACGGAACAACCUGGGUAAAUCUUGAAUAUACACCAUUACGCUGAGUAAAAAAAGCCACACACAGAGGGAAACACUGUUGGAUUCCAUUUUUUAAAGGACAGUCUGAAAGGCAAAACUAUAGUGGCAAAAUUUAGACCAGUGGUUGCCAGAAUUGGGGAUGAAGGGGCUAACCUGGAUAAAACUGGGGUUAGUGGAACAUUUCUGGAUAAUGAAAAUGCUGUCCUGUUUAUCUUUAUUGUGAUUAUAUCUACAUGGUUGUUUGUAUACAUUCAUCAAAAUGUACAUGAAGAAUGGAGAAUGUUCUAUACAUAAAUUGUGCCUUGACACAUCCAAAAUACCUGACUUAAACAAUAAGCGUUAUCAUACCAAGAGUUAGACUGACAGGCCCAAUACGGUGGGGUUACUGUCUUGCCUCAUUGGAAUAAGACACUAUUAAUGCAGUUAAAACUAGUACUUGGCUUAGGGAAACCGUUUCACAAUUUUGUCUCAAAUCAAGCUUUUAAUCUGUUAAAAAAAAUCCUGUAUGUGUCUAGGUUUUUAAAGUAAACUAUAGUAAUACAUACUAAUAGUUUAAAGAUUGCAUUAUAUAUAUGUAAACCCAUUGUAUGAAUGUCACAAGAUCUUUUGGAAUCUGUGUUAUGCUAUGUAGAGUAUUAUAUAUUCCCUACAGCUUUGUGUGAUCCAUAAUUUAGUCAACAUGCUUUACGGAAAGUAUUUUUCUGUGUGGAAAAAUCAUUCUAAAUCUGUUUUAUGCCCAGUUUUAUGGCACAUGUGAUCUGUAUAUGGUAUCUGAAUCUAAAUAAAUUUAUAAAUAACUUUGUCAGUGUAAGUGAAGUAACGUGUUCUGAUAUUAAUAAUUUUUUGACAGUGAAUUUCUUUUACUCAAAGAUGGCCAUGACAAAUUUUAUUAACUAUCAAAAGCUACAUUUUACUAAAAACAAGCUGUCUUUAAAAAUUUUUUUUAUUUUAAAAAUUUAAUGAAGAAAUACCGUUUUGUAAAAGGAUUUAAGAGCAUAGUUAGAAAAGCACAAAAUUCAUACUAAGACUAACUUAACAACCACCAAAACCUAAAGAUAGUCCCAGUGAAAAAAAAAAAUAAGUGCAACAUAUUUAUGAACAUAACAGAAAAUUUUGAAACAAAAUAUUAGGAAAAGUAAUACAG
ensembl:lncRNA